AAACAAACACCAGCGCUAUCUAGCUACUGCACUAGUAGCGAUCAGUGAGUGGCUCUUGAUCUCUUUGCUCUACUACUGUACUAGCCUCUCUUGGCAUGUCUUCUUCUAGCUUCCUCCUCCUGCCCCUCGAUCUGUCCAUGGCGAUGAACUCUUAAUCAGUUUGAUCGAUUUGGUAGGUGUUCUUUCGAAUGGGCUGAGGCUAGGUUAAGGGGAUCGUUGUCUGGUUCAAGGUCUCCACAUUAUGCGCCAUGCUCAUGCAUGGAGGCUUUCACGAUCUGCUUGACAUGGAGUGUAUUUGCUUGGUGAUCUCGGACCAGGCUUCAAUCCCUUUAACCAGCAUCUGCAUGACCUAUUUCUCUCUCGAUCGAGUGUGGUAUACUGAUAUCUUGGAGAUGAAAUUAUGCAUGCAUAUUGUGAGUGGGAGUAGAGAUGUGAGAACUGACACUCAGAAGAAGGGGACAUGAACUUAACUGCCGGCGCAUUUAAUUAAGCAGGGACGGCUGGCUAGCUAGGCUCAUUACUUCACUCACGCAGCAGCUGUGAACGACGAUGCCAUUUACACCCUGAAAGACCACCUGUAGUUGCACCACCUCAAGGCUUCAGAUCGAUGUCAUUCCCUGGCGUUGCUUCUUUCUCUCUGGGAUUUAUGUUCCAUGUGUGUUGUUCUUGCAGAGACUGCAGUAACUGCUGCAUACUGACAUUGCAUAUUCAGAAAAAAGAAAAGAUCUUCAGAGGUAAGGAACUUAUGAUGGUUCAGAAGGAUGCAUCCUAGCUUAACAAGUACCACUUGAGCUAGUAUCCAAUGUUCAUGUCGCUGAUGAAAUCAACUGGUGUACAGUACGCAGACUUGGAGCAAUCGAUGCACAGUUCACGACGUUGACAAGCACAUGCGUUGACAUCGAUCGGUGCUUUGUUGAUGUCUGGAAACUCCCAAUUUUUUUUUGCAAAUACAUGAGCAACUUGCCUAGCUAGAUAUUCAAACCGAUUACUACUCCUAAUACGUCCUAAUUCAACAGCAUCACUAUCGAACUGCCGAACUGCCGUAGACAGAGUAAUUUUAUGGUCCAAUAAAAAGUAACAAAAAUAUCUUAAGGUACUGGUAUCAAAUUAUUUUUGACCGUUAGAUCUAACAGUGCACAUUCUAUUCAACUGGAUCCAAUGGGGGAAAGCGAUGUAGUACCUCAAGGUACCGGUCUCGUGAGAUACUUUUCGUUGGACCGGAGCAAAUCUUUCUAACC